rnacentral:rRNA from 1 species
UACGUAGGGUGCGAGCGUUAAUCGGAAUUACUGGGCGUAAAGCGUGCGCAGGCGGUUCGUUGUGUCGGCGGUGAAAGCCCCGGGCUUAACCUGGGAAUGGCCGUUGAAACUGGCGAACUGGAGUGUGGCAGAGGGGGGUGGAAUUCCGCGUGUAGCAGUGAAAUGCGUAGAGAUGCGGAGGAACACCGAUGGCGAAGGCAGCCCCCUGGGCUGACACUGACGCCUCAGGCACGAAAGCGUGGGUAGCAAACAGG